UACGAAGGGAGCUAGCGUUGUUCGGAAUCACUGGGCGUAAAGCGCACGUAGGCGGAUUUGCCAGUCAGGGGUGAAAUCCCGGGGCUCAACCUCGGAACUGCCUUUGAUACAGCAAGUCUUGAGUUCGAGAGAGGUGGGUGGAAUUCCUAGUGUAGAGGUGAAAUUCGUAGAUAUUAGGAAGAACACCAGUGGCGAAGGCGGCUCACUGGCCCGGUACUGACGCUGAGGCGCGAAAGCGUGGGGAGCAAACAGG
rnacentral:rRNA from 1 species